GCCUGGUUGGCUUAGUGGUUAAGCAUCUGCCUUUGGCUCAGGUGGUGAUCCCAGGACCCUGGGAUCAAGUCCUGCAUCGGGCU
rnacentral:tRNA from 1 species